rnacentral:rRNA from 1 species
UACGAAGGGGGCGAGCGUUGUUCGGAUUUACUGGGCGUAAAGGGCGCGCAGGCGGCUCAUUUUGUCAGGCGUGAAAGCCCCGGGCUUAACCUGGGAACUGCGUUUGAUACGGAUGGGCUAGAGUUCGGGAGAGGAGAGUGGAAUUUCCAGUGUAGAGGUGAAAUUCGUAGAUAUUGGGAAGAACACCGGUGGCGAAGGCGGCUCUCUGGACCGGCAUUGACGCUGAACAGCGAAAGCCAGGGGAGCAAACGGG